GGGCUGGGUAAGACGGGUGCCAGCCGCCGCGGUAAUACCUGCAGCCCAAGUGGUGGCCGCUAUUAUUGGGCCUAAAACGUCCGUAGCCGGUUCUAUAAAUGCCUGGGUAAAUCGUACGGCUUAACCGUACGAAUUCCGGGUAGACUGUUCAACUUGGGACCGGGAGAGGCUAGAGGUACUCCUGGGGUAGAGGUGAAAUUCUGUAAUCCUAGGGGGACCACCAGUGGCGAAGGCGUCUAGCUAGAACGGGUCUGACGGUGAGGGACGAAGCCCUGGGGCGCAAACGGGAUUAGAUACCCCGGUAGUCCAGGGUGUAAACGCUGCUCGCUUGAUGUUAGUCGGGCUCCGAGCCCAACUAGUGUCGGAGAGAAGUUGUUAAGCGAGCUGCCUGGGGAGUACGGCCGCAAGACUGAAACUUAAAGGAAUUGGCGGGGGAGCACCGCAACGGGUGGAGCGUGCGGUUUAAUUGGAUUCAACGCCGGAAAACUCACCGGGGGCGACGGUUAUAUGAAGGCCAGGCUGAUGACCUUGCCUGAUUUUCCGAGAGGUGGUGCAUGGCCGUCGUCAGUUCGUACCGUGAGGCGUUCUGUUAAGUCAGACAACGAACGAGACCCUCAUCUUUAGUUGCAACUGGUAAGUUCGCUUACUAGGCACACUAGAGAAACCGCUGGCGAUAAGUCAGAGGAAGGGGAGGGCAACGGUAGGUCAGUAUGCCCUGAAUCCCCCGGGCUACACGCGCGCUACGAAGGCUAGGACAAUGGGUUUCGACACCGAAAGGUGAAGGUAAUCCCGAAACCUAGUCAUAGUUCGGAUUGAGGGUUGUAACUCACCCUCAUGAAGUUGGAAUCCGUAGUAAUCGCGGAUCAACAUUCCCCGGUGAAUACCCCCCUG
rnacentral:rRNA from 1 species